UAUGACUCUCGGCAAUGGAUUCUUGGGUCUUGCCUCCAUGAAGAGCGCCCCGAAAUUGAUACGUGGUGGAAAUUCAGAAUCCCGUGAACCCUCGAGUUUUUGAACGCAAGUUGCGCCUGAGGCCCACUGGCCGAGGGCAUGUCCGCCUGGGUCUCAUGC
rnacentral:rRNA from 1 species